GAACGCUAGCUACAGGCUUAACACAUGCAAGUCGAGGGGCAGCAUGGUCUUAGCUUGCUAAGGCCGAUGGCGACCGGCGCACGGGUGAGUAACACGUAUCCAACCUGCCGUCUACUCUUGGACAGCCUUCUGAAAGGAAGAUUAAUACAAGAUGGCAUCAUGAGUCCGCAUGUUUACAUGAUUAAAGGUAUUCCGGUAGACGAUGGGGAUGCGUUCCAUUAGAUAGUAGGCGGGGUAACGGCCCACCUAGUCUUCGAUGGAUAGGGGUUCUGAGAGGAAGGUCCCCCACAUUGGAACUGAGACACGGUCCAAACUCCUACGGGAGGCAGCAGUGAGGAAUAUUGGUCAAUGGGCGAGAGCCUGAACCAGCCAAGUAGCGUGAAGGAUGACUGCCCUAUGGGUUGUAAACUUCUUUUAUAAAGGAAUAAAGUCGGGUAUGGAUACCCGUUUGCAUGUACUUUAUGAAUAAGGAUCGGCUAACUCCGUGCCAGCAGCCGCGGUAAUACGGAGGAUCCGAGCGUUAUCCGGAUUUAUUGGGUUUAAAGGGAGCGUAGAUGGAUGUUUAAGUCAGUUGUGAAAGUUUGCGGCUCAACCGUAAAAUUGCAGUUGAUACUGGAUAUCUUGAGUGCAGUUGAGGCAGGCGGAAUUCGUGGUGUAGCGGUGAAAUGCUUAGAUAUCACGAAGAACUCCGAUUGCGAAGGCAGCCUGCUAAGCUGCAACUGACAUUGAGGCUCGAAAGUGUGGGUAUCAAACAGGAUUAGAUACCCUGGUAGUCCACACGGUAAACGAUGAAUACUCGCUGUUUGCGAUAUACUGCAAGCGGCCAAGCGAAAGCGUUAAGUAUUCCACCUGGGGGGGACCCCGGCAACGGUGAAACUCAAAGGAAUUGACGGGGGCCCGCCACAAGCGGAGGAACAUGUGGUUUAAUUCGAUGAUACGCGAGGAACCUUAGCCGGGCUUAAAUUGCAGAUGAAUUAUGGUGAAAGCCCGUAAGCCGCAAGGCAUUUGUGAAGGUGCUGCUUGGUUGUCGUCAGCUCGUGCCGUGAGGUGUCGGCUUAAGUUCCAUAACGAGCGCAGCCUUUGUUGUCAGUUACUAACAGGUUCCGCUGAGGACUCUGACAAGACUGCCAUCGUAAGAUGUGAGGAAGGUGGGGAUGACGUCAAAUCAGCUCGGCCUUUACGUCCGGGGCUACACACGUGUUACAAUGGGGGGUACAGAGGGCCGCUACCACGCGAGUGGAUG
rnacentral:rRNA from 1 species